rnacentral:rRNA from 1 species
GACGAACGCUGGCGGCGUGCUUAACACAUGCAAGUCGAGCGGUAAGGCCCUUUCGGGGGUACACGAGCGGCGAACGGGUGAGUAACACGUGGGUGACCUGCCCUCAGCUCUGGGAUAAGCCUGGGAAACCGGGUCUAAUACUGGAUAUGACUCCAUGACGCAUGUUGUGGGGUGGAAAGCCUUGUGCGGCUGAGGAUGGGCCCGCGGCCAUCAGCUUGUUGGUGGGGUGANGGCCUACCAAGGCGACGACGGGUAGCCGGCCUGAGAGGGCGACCGGCCACACUGGGACUGAGACACGGCCCAGACUCCUACGGGAGGCAGCAGUGGGGAAUCUUGCGCAAUGGGCGAAAGCCUGACGCAGCGACGCCGCGUGAGGGAUGACGGCCUCGG